CCUACGGGUGGCAGCAGUGGGGAAUAUUGCGCAAUGGGCGAAAGCCUGACGCAGCGACGCCGCGUGAGGGAUGACGGUCUUCGGAUCGUAAACCUCUGUCAGCAGGGAAGAACGGUCACUGUGCUAAUCAGCAGUGAAUUGACGGUACCUGCAAAGGAAGCACCGGCUAACUCCGUGCCCGCAGCCGCGGUAAUACGGAGGGUGCGAGCGUUAAUCGGAAUUACUUGGCGUAAAGCGCUCGUAGGCGGUAUGUCACGUCAAGGGGGAAAUCCCCGCGCUCAACGUGGGAACUGCCUUUGAAACUGGCAAACUGGAGUGUGUGAGAAGAUAGUGGAAUUCCAGGGGUAGCAGUGAAAUCCGUAGAUAUCUGGAGGAACACCAGUGGCGAAGGCGACGAUCUGGCACAUAACUGACGCUGAGGAGCGAAAGCGUGGGUAGCGAACAGGAUUAGAUACCCCUGUAGUC
rnacentral:rRNA from 1 species